UGGGGGUGACUUUAAUACUAGAAGCGUUGAAACGGAGAAUGUGAUUAAUUAAAUGUCAUUAUUUAAAAUUCAUAUAUGUUUAAAGACUCAUCACACACCACGUUACUUCCAUUGAAUAUUAUUAUAAAUAUAAAUAAAUAAAACUUAAUUCACAGAUGUCCCCUAUGCUGCUAGAUAAUGGAAUACAAUUACAUAAGAAACAUCCUUUCAGUUACUUUCCCGCUGAUGUUUUUUAUGGACUGCAGAGAAAACGUUUCGCUCGUUUUGUAAAGCAUUUUGUUAACUUCAAGAUGCUUUGGCGCUGCGCUAUCUGCCUUGUUUUCCUCAGUUUUUCACCAAAACUGUUAUUGAGCCAUAUUAAUCGAAUGCACAGCCGUAGCUCUGAUUUCAGGUUGCUCUGUGGUAUUGACGGAUGUAUCAAGGUAUAUCGAGUGUAUAACUCAUUCUAUCAUCAUGUGAAAAGAAGACACUCUCAACACCUUCUUGAAAGCACCAGAGCAGGCGAUGGCAACCAUGCAGGUCAGCAACCACAGGAGGAGGGUCAAGGAACACACCAGCAACAAGACAACGUUCAAUCCAAUCAACUUCCAGAGGAAGUUGGUAUCUCUGGUAUCAGCAAUCAACAACUGACAACUGAUACAGAUGAAAGGCAAAUAGAAGAUGGAGCUGCAGUACAACCAGAUCUGACAACACAGGCCACCUUUGUCAUAAAUGCCCGGGCCAAACAUCGUCUCUCACAGAAAAGGCAUGAAUAACAUUGUUGCUGGAGUGCAGCAGUAUCAGUCAUCAUUGUUGGACAACCUCAGGGGGCAGAUGGAGCAAGUAUUAAAGAAUCAUUCAGGAAGCUCAUCAGGACACCUUCAAAAAGAAGUUAUGUGCAUAUUUGACAAUUUUAUUGACCCUUUUACAAGUGUUGCAACAACAUUUCGACAGAACAGUGUUAUUAAGAAGCAAUUCAGUAUUGUGAAUGCUGAAGAAAUUCUAAUUGCUCGAACCAUAUGCAGGACGAAACGUGGAGGAUCUAAAGACUUCUUCAUCAAAGACAAAGUGUUUCAUUAUGUACCAUUAGUCAAAAGUCUAGAACAGUUCUUAUCACACCCAAGGUUAUGGUCUAUGAUUGACAAGGGACCACAGAGGUGCAGAGAAAGUUUUUUUAUAGACAUUGUCGAUGGUGCCCUUCUAAAAUCACAUCCCUUAUUUUCAGAAAAACCAAAUGCAUUACAGAUUGUUGUAUACACGGAUGAAAUAGAGAUCUGUAAUCCACUAGGAUCAUUUGCAUCAAAAAACAAAUUAAUAAUGGUGUAUUACACCCUAGCAAACAUAAAUCCGAAAUACAGGUCUAAACUUGCUGCUAUUAGGCUACUUGCCCUGGCUAGGUCAGCUCCGUCAAUGUGGUGUAGAUGUUAUAUUGAAUAGAAUCAAAGAAGAUAUGGAUGCAUUGUACAAUGGUGUUAAAAUGCAAACUAUUAAUGGACAGAAAACUGUUUAUGGUCUCUAUUUGUGGCGACACUCUGGCGCAGCAUGAACUUGCAGGGUUCAAAGAGAGUGUGGGCUUUGCCUAUAGUAAAUGCAGACACUGUGAGUGUACUUUUGAGGACAUGCAGUCAUACUUCAACGAGGAUUCAUUUACCAAAAGGACCUUGAAGAAGCAUAUCAGAUAAACUAAUGAAAUAGAAAAUGCAAACACAGACUUGCUUCGCAACAGUCUAAGAACAACAUAUGGGAUCAAUCGGAGGAGCAAAUUAGUUGAUAUCCCUGCCUUUGAUAUUAUUCAACAGACUCCGCAAGAUAUUAUGCAUGUAAUUCUGGAAGGAAUAGCUCCUUUGGAAAUCAAGCAUGUUUUGAAUCAUCUUGUUCAGUCAGGGCAGAUAGAUCUAGACUCUGCUAUUUCUCUGUGAAUUCUGCUAUUCUUGGUUUCCCUUAUUCCCCUCUGAAUGUUAGAGAUCGGCCAUCCCCAAUAUCAGUUAGUACGUUAAUGUCAAAUGAUGGUAAAUUAAAACAAUCGUCUGGUCAAAUGCUUGUCCUGAUAAGGAUGUUGCCCUUUGUUUUGGAAAGCUUGAAAACCAAUGCAUUUGUGCAUCUGAUCAUUGAGCUAAUAGAGAUUGUGCAAAUAGUGUUUGCACCUGUUCUUACCAUUGCAACAGUUUCUAGAUUGAAGUCACUAAUUUAAAAUAAUUUGAAAAAAUGGAAGGAACUUUUUCCAGAGAACAAUAUCACACCUAAGCAGCAUCAUAUGCUACAUUUGCCCUCACAGAUUAAGUCACUGGGUCCAAUGAUUAGACAUGUGUGUAUGCGGUUUGAGUCUUAACAUUGUUUCUUUAAACAAUGGGCUUCUAAGCUCAAUUUAAAAAAUAUUAGCAAGUCUUUGAAUAAUCAGAACCAAAUGUAUGAAGGCUGCCAAAAUGCUGACCAUUCAAUGCACCCAAUCUUUUCAAAUGAAAGAGAGAUGGGACCUGUAUCUGAGGUUAAAGAUCUACAAUAUUUACGUGGAAAAUUAAGAGACUUUCUAGGUUAUGAUGAAGUAAACAAUGCUGUAUCAGUCAAAUGGCUUGUGAUUUAUGGCAAUAAAUACGUAACUCAAAAGUCAAUGAUCCUUGCCAAAGUUGUAAAUGAUAAUAUGCCAGAAUUUGGAUUGGUCAAAAACAUAUUUCUUGCUGAUUCUACACUUUAUUGUUUAGAAUAGCAACCAUUUCAAACUAUACACUUUGAUAGAAAUAUGAUGGCAUAUCAAGUUGAGGUCCCGCAUCUUGCACAGGCCACUGAGUUAGUGAAUUCUGAAAAGCUGGUUGACUUUACCUCUUAUUACACAAUCAGCAGCAAGAGCCAAACCUUUGUACAGGUCAAAUACCAUCUUGGGGAUGUAAUAGAAUUGUACAACGCUGACAAAUUAGUCAUUGUGUGUUCCCCAAAUAUGAUAUGACUUUUGCUUUUAACGUAGCUUUGUAAUUUGACUUUGGAAUAUCUACUUAAGGACGGUCCAGAGCAAAUGAAAACAUACCUGCUGCAGUGCACAAAUGAUGUGAAUGUUUGUAUAAAGAUAAGCUAUUUCUGUUAAGAAGCUAAAUGUUUUAAAUGUUACGUAUGAAAUGUUGAAACAUUAGAUCAGAUGUGCCAUGUGCCAAUUUCCAGUACUGUACCUACUAUAUUUUUAUGAGUACAUCAUUUAUAUUGUCUGUUUGACAAUAAAACUAAAGAUUACACUUAAAUGUUCUGUUUUUAAUAUGGGAAGAGUUAAAAUGAUAACAAAGUCAUCAUUUUUUAUUUCUUGAUUAAAAUAAGAAAUUAUGACUUAACAAAAAGCAGUUUGUACUUUUCAGUGAGGAUUAUAAU